GUUUUUGCCUGUUUCCUUACAUAUCGAGCUUUUAUUGGCUAAUUUAGAUAUUAGCUUCUCUUUUAGCAAUAGGCUAACAUUCUUGAAUAAUUUAGAUUAGUGAAGACUUUGAGGCUACUUUGGAUUUUAGCUAGUAUUUAAGCCAUGUUUUAUGUUUUGGCUAAUUUGGCAUCUAAAAAAUAAGAUACAUUAAAAGUCGAAUAAUCGGAAAAAAUAGUCGGUGAUUCGUGGACUUCGUCAGCAGGCCUACCCAUCAGAGACGAUGCCCUCGGCGAUCUCGCAGACCAGGACGAAGAGCAGGACGAAGCUCCUCGGGAUGAGCUCCGCGCGCGCGGAGGGGAGUCAGAGGGAGGCGGGUCGUGAGGAGGAGCGGGUCAGAGGCGGCCAGAGUCCCCCCUCUCCGUCCAUCCCGUCCGCCUGCAAACUGAGGACGUCCUGCAGGGCGCCGCUCGCGCUCGGCUCGCGCGCGCGCAGCGCCGCUCCUCUGGAAUGCACGCGGGCAUGCUCACAUGGCGGGAGGAGGAGCGGCUCCCGCAGAUCCCGCUAUUCCUGUCUCCAGAGGCGACCUUGGCGGAGCAGAGGGGACGGACGUGCCGGAGGAGCCGGUGGCGCGAGCGCAGCAGCAGGUAUAAUCAGUCGGACCGGUUGCAGAGCUGAUGUGAGAGGAAGAAUGUGA
rnacentral:lncRNA from 1 species